CCAGGAACAGGCUUGGCGAUCCCUGAUACCCUAUAGGAGAGCUCAUCAUAGGACAAAUAGGCUUUGUUGUCCAAAUGGUGAUGCUGGUUGUCUGUUGGAGAAAAAUCACUUGGCAGCGUCUUACCCAAGAGGACAUUCUGCAGAUUGUAAUACAGUUUCUGUAGGAUCCCAGGCAACACCUCAGACACAAGUCCAAAGUAUCAAUGAGUGAGAGAUAAGUAACUUACAUUGUUUAUUUCAAUUAUAAAUAACUAUUUAAGAUGUAAUUUUCAAUUUGUACUGGCCAGUACACUACUUCACAUAAAGGAUUCCUCUCACUCCGGCUCCCUGUAUGGAUUCGAGGGUGGAGCGGCCUCCUGCUUCGACACUCUGUACUGAUUCGGGGGUGGAGCUUCCACCCUCCAUCCCUUUGCCUCAUCCUGCUCCUGGGGCGGAGACUCCACCUGUCCCGGCACCAUGACCUGCUCUGGGGGCAGAGCCCCACCUGUCCCGGCACCAUGACCUGCUCUGGGGGCAGAAACCCACCUGUCCUGGCACCAUGACCUGCUCUGGGGGCAGAGCCCCACCUGUCCCAGCACCAUGACCUGCUCUGGGGGCAGAGCCCCACCUGUCCCGGCACCAUGUCUUGCUCUGGGGGCAGAGCCCCACUUGUCCCGCAUCCCUUACGGCUCCAGAGGUGGAGUCUCCACCCAUCCCAGCGUCCAUUCCAAUCUGUCAGAAACCACUCUGUUUGUAUAAUUCACCUCAUGUUACCAACGAUGCCUCUUCAUCUUCACUCAUGUCCUGAUUCUGAAAGGCCAAGUUAGUCACAUAUAACCAAACAUGUGUAAUAAAGUACUCAACAUGCUUUGUUACAGAUUCUCCAUGUCAUUUGAUAUACUGUUGAUGAGGUGAAGUAGGAGGCACGAGUUACAAGGUCUGUUGUAAAGCUGUUGAUCCCUAUUUGUCUAGGUAGACUAUUCAGUUUGGAUGAGACGGGGCCAAACAUUGUGUUUGUUACUGUGUGGUAAAAAAGGUACAUGACUGUUCCUCUAUCCAGGCCCAAAUUUACAAAGCCUGGCUUUGCCCUCCAAGAUAGAAUUUUUACUAACCUAGGUAUUGUAAAUCCAUAAUGCAGACAACUCAAUUGGUCAGAUGGGUCUGGGAACAAGCUUUCUCUGUUUACAUAAUUUUCUACCAAUAAAUAAGCUGAUUGAUACAUGACGUGAUAUAGCCUGUAUAAUUUUGCAUGCCAAAAACAUGUAUGUGUCAACUGUGUGCAUGUGCUGUAAAUCCAGUGGCAAACAAAGAAAUCAGAGGAAAUAAAACUGUAGAGUAUAAAGCUUUGUAAAGGAUCCAGUGUGGUUUUAUCUGUAUUUUUGUUAGUGGCAUGUUCCCCCUAACUUCUUACCACUACUUUUCCUCUUAUGUUGGACUCCAUCUUGGGCAUAGCCUCCAGGUCUUCCUCAACAACGACCAUCCCAUCUCUCUGUGAAAUCACCCCCCUCUGGAUAUGUUUUUUUUCAAUUCACCACUAUUCACUCGCAACAGUAACCUAAUUCAACAAAUGUAUUAACAAGCUACAUAAAUCCAAAUCAUAAUGCAGAAAAAAAGGCCAUCCCUAACAGUGUUGAUCAGUCACUUAGGCCUUCUAUUUCUUCAGCGAAAGCCUAUGUCUUGAUACAGAUAUAGAUGUCUUUAUAUAUUAUAAUUUAAUUACUUUGUAUUGAUAAAAGCUUUGUAUUGAUAAAAGUCUCUGCAUGGCAAAAUCUAACUUGACAUUGCAAAUGAUCAUCAUCUGGUGUCAUGGUUGUUUUUCGGCAUCUUUCUUGCUA
ensembl:lncRNA